rnacentral:rRNA from 1 species
CCCUUAGACGUUCUGGGCCGCACGCGCGCUACACUGACCAGUGCAACAAGCAUCCGUCCUUGGCCGACAGGCCCGGGCAAUCUUUGAACGCUGGUCGUGUUGGGGAUAGACUUUUGCAAUUUUUGGUCUUCAACGAGGAAUUCCUAGUAAACGCAAGUCAUCAACUUGCAUUGAUUACGUCCCUGCCCUUUGUACACACCGCCCGUCGCACCUACCGAUUGAAUGGUCCGGUGAAGCCUCCGGAUUGGCGCGCACCUCGGUGCCGCCGAGAAGUUGGCUAAACCUUACCAUUUAGAGGAAGGUGAAGUCGUAACA